rnacentral:rRNA from 1 species
GACGAACGCUGGCGGCGUGCUUAACACAUGCAAGUCGAACGAUGAAGCUAGAGCUUGCUCUGGUGAAUUAGUGGCGAAGGGGCGAGUAACACGUGAGUAACCUGCCCCGAACUCUGGGAUAACUGCUGGAAACGGUAGCUAAUACUGGAUACGACCUACGAAGGCAUCUUCUGUAGGUGGAAAGAAUUUCGGUUCGGGAUGGACUCGCGGCCUAUCGGCUUGUUGGUGAGGUGAUGGCGCACCAAGGCGACGACGGGAAGCCGGCCUGAGGGGGUGACCGGCCACACUGGGGCUGAGACACGGCCCAGACUCCUACGGGAGGCAGCAGUGGGGAAUAUUGCACAAUGGGCGCAAGCCUGAUGCAGCAACGCCGCGUGAGGGAUGACGGCCUUCGGGUUGUAAACCUCUUUUAGUAGGGAAGAAGCGAAAGUGACGGUACCUGCAGAAAAAGCACCGGCUAACUACGUGCCAGCAGCCGCAGUAA